GGGGACGACAUGGCUUCGACGUGGUCGGCUUCGUGGCGGUGGUUGCGAGCCGAGGUGCCAGGAGGCCUCGUAAAACACCUGGCAAAACCAUACGUGCGGACUCUCACGAGUACGCCCUCGCGGCCUAGUUAACUCUAGGUCCUGAGGUUCUGGCCCCCGCCUGCCGACCGUGGGGAUCGCCGGAAUCAGAUGUCGGCUCACCCGGUGAGGCCCGCUCCCGCCGAUCCGGGGAAAUUUCAGGGAGCUGGCUUUCGGAAACCCCGCCGGCGAGGCGACCCGAAGGCGAGAUCAGAGCGCCGGCUACGCUCGUAGACGCCACCACCACGCGAUUGCGGACGUGGGUUCGAUUCCCACCGUCUCCACUA
rnacentral:tmRNA from 1 species